GGGUGCGAUCAUACCAGCACAAAUGUACUAGAUCUCAUUAGAACUCCGCAAUUUAGCUUGCUUGGGCUAGAUUAGUACUAGGAUGCGUGACCUCUUUUCAAGUCCUCAUGUUGCACCCC
rnacentral:rRNA from 1 species